UACGUAGGUGGCAAGCGUUAUCCGGAUUUAUUGGGCGUAAAGGGAACGCAGGCGGUCUUUUAAGUCUGAUGUGAAAGCCUUCGGCUUAACCGGAGUAGUGCAUUGGAAACUGGGAGACUUGAGUGUAGAAGAGGAGAGUGGAACUCCAUGUGUAGCGGUGAAAUGCGUAGAUAUAUGGAAGAACACCAGUGGCGAAAGCGGCUCUCUGGUCUGUAACUGACGCUGAGGUUCGAAAGCGUGGGUAGCAAACAGG
rnacentral:rRNA from 1 species